rnacentral:rRNA from 1 species
UAAAAGCUUCAAACUGGGAUUAGAUACCCCACUAUGCCCAGUAGUAAACACAAAUACAUCUGUAUGCGCCAGAGAAUUACAAGCAAAGCUUAAAACCCAAAGGACUUGGCGGCAUUCCAUAACACCCUAGAGGGGCCUGUCACAUAAACGAUAACCCACGAUAAACCUCACCAUUUUUAGCCCAACACCAGCCUAUAUACCGCCGUCGCCAGCCCAUCUUGAAAAAGUAACAAAAUAGGCCAAAUAGUUUAUUACUAAAACGACAGGUCAAGGUGUAGCUUAUAAAACGGCAAGUGAUGGACCACAUUGCUUUCCCAGCCAAACUAAAACUGCCCUGAAACAUACACUUUAAGGUGAAUUUAACAGUAAAAUGAACAAGAAAAUUCAUUUAAAGACUGCUCUGGAACGUGCACACACCGCCCGUCACCC